AGAUUGAACGCUGGCGGCAGACGAACGCUGGCGGCGUGCCUAAUACAUGCAAGUCGAGCGCAGGAAGCUCGCGGAACUCUUCGGAGGGAAGCAAGUGGAAUGAGCGGCGGACGGGUGAGUAACACGUAAGGAACCUGCCUCAAGGAUUGGGAUAACUCCGAGAAAUCGGAGCUAAUACCGGAUAGUUCUUCGGACCGCAUGGUCCGAUGAUGAAAGGCGCUUCGGCGUCACCUUGAGAUGGCCUUGCGGUGCAUUAGCUAGUUGGUGGGGUAAUGGCCUACCAAGGCGACGAUGCAUAGCCGACCUGAGAGGGUGAUCGGCCACACUGGGACUGAGACACGGCCCAGACUCCUACGGGAGGCAGCAGUAGGGAAUCUUCCACAAUGGACGAAAGUCUGAUGGAGCAACGCCGCGUGAGUGAUGAAGGUUUUCGGAUCGUAAAACUCUGUUGUAAGGGAAGAACAGAUACGAGAGGUAAUGCUCGUAUCCUGACGGUACCUUGCGAGAAAGCCACGGCUAACUACGUGCCAGCAGCCGCGGUAAUACGUAGGUGGCAAGCGUUGUCCGGAAUUAUUGGGCGUAAAGCGCGCGCAGGCGGCCUUUUAAGUCUGAUGUGAAAGCCCCCGGCUCAACCGGGGAGGGUCAUUGGAAACUGGAAGGCUUGAGUACAGAAGAGAAGAGUGGAAUUCCAUGUGUAGCGGUGAAAUGCGUAGAGAUGUGGAGGAACACCAGUGGCGAAGGCGACUCUUUGGUCUGUAACUGACGCUGAGGCGCGAAAGCGUGGGGAGCAAACAGGAUUAGAUACCCUGGUAGUCCACGCCGUAAACGAUGAGUGCUAGGUGUUGGGGGGUUUCCGCCCCUCAGUGCUGAAGCUAACGCAUUAAGCACUCCGCCUGGGGAGUACGGCCGCAAGGCUGAAACUCAAAGGAAUUGACGG
rnacentral:rRNA from 1 species